UAACCUACCUAUAAGACGUGGGAAUUAACGUUACGGGAAACCGGAGCUAAUACCGGAUAAUAUAUUGAACCGCAUGGUUCAAUAGUGAAAGACGGUUUUGCUGUCACUUAUAGAUGGAUCCGCGCCGCAUUAGCUAGUUGGUAAGGUAACGGCUUACCAAGGCAACGAUGCGUAGCCGACCUGAGAGGGUGAUCGGCCACACUGGAACUGAGACACGGUCCAGACUCCUACGGGAGGCAGCAGCA
rnacentral:rRNA from 1 species